GGCCGCUUCGGGCUGGUAGAUUCAAGUCCAGGCCAUUCGGACUAUUGGGACCCCAUUCAGAGAUCCGGGAAAACGGCCGCUUCGGGCUGGUAGAUUCAAGUCCCGACCGUUCGGACUUUUGGGACCCCAUUGAGC